rnacentral:rRNA from 1 species
CUAAUCUGCGAUAAGCGUCGGUAAGGUGAUAUGAACCGUUAUAACCGGCGAUUUCCGAAUGGGGAAACCCAGUGUGAUUCGUCACACUAUCAUUAACUGAAUCCAUAGGUUAAUGAGGCGAACCGGGGGAACUGAAACAUCUAAGUACCCCGAGGAAAAGAAAUCAACCGAGAUUCCCCCAGUAGCGGCGAGCGAACGGGGAGGAGCCCAGAGCCUGAAUCAGUGUGUGUGUUAGUGGAAGCGUCUGGAAAGGCGCGCGAUACAGGGUGACAGCCCCGUACACAAAAAUGCACAUACUGUGAGCUCGAUGAGUAGGGCGGGACACGUGGUAUCCUGUCUGAAUAUGGGGGGACCAUCCUCCAAGGCUAAAUACUCCUGACUGACCGAUAGUGAACCAGUACCGUGAG